rnacentral:rRNA from 1 species
UGGGGAGUGAUGACAAUGGGGGCAACCCUGAUCCAGCCAUGCCGCGUGAGUGAUGAAGGCCUUCGGGUUGUAAAGCUCUUUUGGCGGGGACGAUGAUGACGGUACCCGGCAGAAUAAGCCCCGGCUAACUUCGUGCCAGCAGCCGCGGUAAGACGAAGGGGGGCUAGCGUUGUUCGGAAUUACUGGGCGUAAAGCGAGUGUAGGCGGUUGCCGUAGUCAGGUGUGAAAGCCUUGAGCUCAACUCAAGAAAUGCACUUGUACUGGGUGACUAGAGGACCGGAGAGGAUAGUGGAAUUCCCAGUGUAGUGGUGAAAUNCGUAGAGAUUGGGGAAGAACACCAGUGGCGAAGGCGGCUAUCUGGACGGUUACUGACGCU